UACGAAGGGAGCUAGCGUUGUUCGGAAUCACUGGGCGUAAAGCGCACGUAGGCGGCUUUCUAAGUCAGGGGUGAAAUCCUGGAGCUCAACUCCAGAACUGCCUUUGAUACUGGAGAGCUUGAGUCCGGAAGAGGUGAGUGGAACUCCGAGUGUAGAGGUGAAAUUCGUAGAUAUUCGGAAGAACACCAGUGGCGAAGGCGGCUCACUGGUCCGGUACUGACGCUGAUGUGCGAAAGCGUGGGGAGCAAACAGG
rnacentral:rRNA from 1 species